rnacentral:rRNA from 1 species
AGUGAACGCUGGCGGUAGGCCUAACACAUGCAAGUCGGACGGCAGCACAGUAAGAGCUUGCUCUUACGGGUGGCGAGUGGCGGACGGGUGAGGAAUACAUCGGAAUCUACUUUUUCGUGGGGGAUAACGUAGGGAAACUUACGCUAAUACCGCAUACGACCUACGGGUGAAAGCAGGGGAUCUUCGGACCUUGCGCGAUUGAAUGAGCCGAUGUCGGAUUAGCUAGUUGGCGGGGUAAAGGCCCACCAAGGCGACGAUCCGUAGCUGGUCUGAGAGGAUGAUCAGCCACACUGGAACUGAGACACGGUCCAGACUCCUACGGGAGGCAGCAGUGGGGAAUAUUGGACAAUGGGCGCAAGCCUGAUCCAGCCAUCCCGCGUGGGUGAAGAAGGCCUUCGGGUUGUAAAGCCCUUUUGUUGGGAAAGAACAGCAGCAGGUUAAUACCCCGCUGUUCUGACGGUACCCGAAGAAUAAGCACCGGCUAACUUCGUG